rnacentral:rRNA from 1 species
AGCGAACGCUGGCGGCAGGCUUAACACAUGCAAGUCGAACGGGCACUUCGGUGCUAGUGGCAGACGGGUGAGUAACACGUGGGAACGUACCUUUCGGUUCGGAAUAAUUCAGGGAAACUUGGACUAAUACCGGAUACGCCCUUCGGGGGAAAGAUUUAUCGCCGAUAGAUCGGCCCGCGUCUGAUUAGCUAGUUGGUGAGGUAAUGGCUCACCAAGGCGACGAUCAGUAGCUGGUCUGAGAGGAUGAUCAGCCACAUUGGGACUGAGACACGGCCCAAACUCCUACGGGAGGCAGCAGUGGGGAAUAUUGGACAAUGGGCGCAAGCCUGAUCCAGCCAUGCCGCGUGAGUGAUGAAGGCCUUAGGGUUGUAAAGCUCUUUUGUCCGGGAAGAUAAUGACUGUACCGGAAGAAUAAGCCCCGGCUAACUGCGUGCCAGCCGCCGCCGUAAUAC